rnacentral:RNase_P_RNA from 1 species
GAAGCUGACCAGACAGUCGCCGCUUCGUCGUCGUCCUCUUAGGGGGAGACGGGCGGAGGGGAGGAAAGUCCGGGCUCCAUAGGGCAAGGUGCCAGGUAACGCCUGGGGGGUGUCACAGCCCACGACCAGUGCAACAGAGAGCAAACCGCCGAUGGCCCGCGCAAGCGGGAUCAGGUAAGGGUGAAAGGGUGCGGUAAGAGCGCACCGCGCGGCUGGUAACAGUCCGCGGCACGGUAAACUCCACUCGGAGCAAGGCCAAAUAGGGGUUCAUAAGGUACGGCCCGUACUGAACCCGGGUAGGCUGCUUGAGCCAGUGAGCGAUUGCUGGCCUAGAUGAAUGACUGUCCACGACAGAACCCGGCUUAUCGGUCAGUUUCACCU